AUGAACGCUGGCGGCGUGCUUAACACAUGCAAGUCGAACGAUGAACCUCACUUGUGGGGGGAUUAGUGGCGAACGGGUGAGUAACACGUGAGUAACCUGCCCUUGACUCUGGGAUAAGCCUGGGAAACCGGGUCUAAUACUGGAUACGACCUUCUGGCGCAUGCCAUGUUGGUGGAAAGCUUUUGUGGUUUUGGAUGGACUCGCGGCCUAUCAGCUUGUUGGUGGGGUAAUGGCCUACCAAGGCGACGACGGGUAGCCGGCCUGAGAGGGUGACCGGCCACACUGGGACUGAGACACGGCCCAGACUCCUACGGGAGGCAGCAGUGGGGAAUAUUGCACAAUGGGCGCAAGCCUGAUGCAGCGACGCCGCGUGAGGGAUGAAGGCCUUCGGGUUGUAAACCUCUUUCAGUAGGGAAGAAGCCGGCUUUUGGGUUGGUGACGGUACCUGCAGAAGAGGCGCCGGCUAACUACGUG
rnacentral:rRNA from 1 species